AUACGUAGGGGGCGAGCGUUGUCCGGAAUGAUUGGGCGUAAAGGGCGCGUAGGCGGCCCGGUAAGUCUGGAGUGAAAGUCCUGUUUUUAAGAUGGGAAUUGCUUUGGAUACUGUCGGGCUUGAGUGCAGGAGAGGUAAGUGGAAUUCCCAGUGUAGCGGUGAAAUGCGUAGAGAUUGGGAGGAACACCAGUGGCGAAGGCGACUUACUGGACUGUAACUGACGCUGAGGCGCGAAAGUGUGGGGGGCAAACAGGAUUAGAUACCCUGGUAGUCCACACUGUAAACGAUGAAUGCUAGGUGUAGGGGGUAUCGACCCCUUCUGUGCCGCAGUCAACACAAUAAGCAUUCCGCCUGGGGAGUACGGCCGCAAGGUUGAAACUCAAAGGAAUUGACGGGG
rnacentral:rRNA from 1 species